rnacentral:misc_RNA from 1 species
GGAGGUUGCGGGCGGCGAGGGGUGCCUCCGGCCGCACGCCCAUUCUUGUCUACUGACCCGGUUGCCUCGGCGGGCCGCGCCUGCUGUGCUACAGCGGCCGUUCGGGGGGGACGCCUGAGGGGGACUCUUGUUUCCUAGGCCACGCCCCGGGCAGCGCUCGCCGGAGGAUUACUCUGGAAAACACACUCUUGAAAGAACAUACCGUCUGAGCGAGCAACGCAAAUCAGUUAAAACUUUCAACAACGGAUCUCUUGGUUCCGGGGCUAUGAAGAACGCAGCGAAAUGCGAUAAGUAAUGUGAAUUGCAGAAUUCCGUGAAUCAUCGAAUCUUUGAACGCACAUUGCGCCCCCUGGCAUUCCGGGGGGCAUGCCUGUUCGAGCGUCAUUUCAACCCCUCAAGCCCGGCUUGUGUGAUGGACGACCGUCCCCCCUCCCCAGUAACCACCCACCGCUUAGGGGGGUGGGAGGGAGGGGGACGCGCCCGAAAAGCAGUGGUCAGGCCGCGAUUCCGGCUCCUGGGCGAAUGGGACAUACCACCGCCUCCAGGACCGGCCGGCAGGCUGGCCUAACGCACCAUGUAUUAUUCAGGUUGACCUCGG